GACGAACGCUGGCGGCGUGCUUAACACAUGCAAGUCGAACGAAGUGGCGAACGGGUGAGUAACGCGUAAUCAACCUGCCCUUCAGAGGGGGACAACAGUUGGAAACGACUGCUAAUACCGCAUACAGAAGGAGGGGAUUGCGUCUUAUUAGCUAGUUGGCGGGGUACCGGCCCACAAAGGCGAUGAUCAGUAGCCGGGCUGGGGGGAUGAACUGCAACAUUGGGACUUAGACACGGCCCAGACUCCUUCGGGAGGCAGCAGUGGGGGAUCUUCCGCAAUGGACGAAAGUCUGACGGUGCAACGCCGCGUGAGUGAUGACGGCCUUUGGGUUGUAAAGCUCUGUUAAUCGGGACGCGGUACCGGAAUAGAAAGCCACGGCUAACUACGUGCCAGCAGCCGCGGUAAUAC
rnacentral:rRNA from 1 species